GCGUAUCUGUCAAAUGUACGGUUAAAGGGUUAUUUCGCAUUUUUUGCCGAUACGCACACAUUGGAAUUUCGCUAACUCCUCCGAAGGCUUUCGUUCCACCAGCACUACAUUUGCUCAGGCCAAUCUACACCCCAUGGCCAUUGAAAGUUGUACAAAUCAUGACGCUGCACCCCACGGUUUAGGUUCUAGGGGGCGCCAAAGAUAACCCACAAAUCCACAUUCUUAAAAAUCUUAUAACUUUUUAUUUUUGUCCUCAUUGGCCUCCAAGUUUUCUAGGAUGAUGCAAUGUCCAGCCAUCAACACAUUUGUGAAGGAAUUUUUACUCCCCGAAAGAGCGCCCCCCCAUGGCAGGAGAAAAAAGUCCAUUUUUUCUUGUCCCCUAAGGUGAAAAUACACAUUGUUGAGUGUCACGCCUGUACGCUUUGUCAAAAUGACACAAAAAUUGACACACACAUGUAUCUCAAUAAGAUGUACGAAAAAGUCAAUGCGCGCGUAUCUGUCAAAUGUACGGUUAAAGGGCUAUUUUGCAUUUUUUGCCGAUUCGCACACAUUGGAAUGUGGCUAACUCCUCCUAAGGCUUUCGUCCCACUGACACCAAAUUUGCUCAGGUAAAUCUACACCCCAUGGCCAUUCAAAGUUGUAAAAAUCAUGACGCUGCACCCCACGGUUUACGUUCAAGGGGGCGCCAAAGAUGACCCAAAUAUCCACAUUCUUAAAAGAAUCCACAUCCCCCCCCCCCCAUCCCCCAUCCCACAUCCCCCAUGGCAGGAGAAAAAGUCAAGUUUUUCCUUCCCAUCACUCAAUGGCUCAAUCGCAUCGCUCUCCCGGCAACACCGUAACGAGGAGCAACUUGCCGUUUGGAUAUAUCCUAGCUGUGUUUGUGCCCUCACUCAUGGUCCAGACUUUUUUCAAAUAGGACAUGUAGUUUGUCUGCAGCGAGUGUUUUGGUAGAAACUGCGCCUCCCAUUCACUAUAAUGGGAAAUGACCACAGACAAGUGCGCACACCAUCUUUGGACCUUGAGUGUGACGCGAUCGGGAGGGGGAGGCGGUCGCGCUGGGGGCGGCGCGACGCGGCUCGGGCCCGACAGUGCCCCACCGGGGCCCUAGUUCUUUCUUUCUUU